AACGUAGGAGGCGAGCGUUAUCCGGAGUUACUGGGCGUAAAGAGCGUGUAGGCGGGUAUGCAAGUUUGGCGUGAAAGCUCCCGGCUAAACUGGGAGAGUGCGCUGAAGACUGCGUAUCUAGAGGCGAGUAGAAGGACGUGGAAUUCCGGGUGUAGUGGUGAAAUGCGUAGAGAUCCGGAGGAACACCAGUGGCGAAGGCGACGUCCUGGGCUUGACCUGACGCUGAGACGCGACAGCACGGGGAGCGAACGGG
rnacentral:rRNA from 1 species